rnacentral:rRNA from 1 species
CAGUCGCCGCGGUAAUACGUAGGGUGCAAGCGUUGUCCGGAAUUAUUGGGCGUAAAGAGCUCGUAGGCGGUUUGUCGCGUCUGCUGUGAAAUCCCGAGGCUCAACCUCGGGCUUGCAGUGGGUACGGGCAGACUAGAGUGCGGUAGGGGAGAUUGGAAUUCCUGGUGUAGCGGUGGAAUGCGCAGAUAUCAGGAGGAACACCGAUGGCGAAGGCAGAUCUCUGGGCCGUAACUGACGCUGAGGAGCGAAAGCGUGGGGAGCGAACAGGAUUAGAUACCCCUGUAGUCCCUGUCUCUUAUAA